rnacentral:rRNA from 1 species
CCCGGCGACCGGCGCACGGGUGAGUAACACGUAUGGAACCUGCCCGCAGCAGGGGGAUAAGCGGAAGAAAUUCCGUCUAAUACCGCGUAACACCGCAGAGGGGCAUCCCUCGGCGGUUAAAGAUUCAUCGGCUGCGGAUGGCCAUGCGGCGCAUUAGCUAGUCGGCGGGGUAACGGCCCACCGAGGCGACGAUGCGUAGGGGUUCUGAGAGGAAGGUCCCCCACACUGGUACUGAGACACGGACCAGACUCCUACGGGAGGCAGCAG